AUUGAACGCUGGCGGAAUGCUUUACACAUGCAAGUCGAGCGGCAGCGCGGGGGCAACCCUGGCGGCGAGCGGCGAACGGGUGAGUAACACAUCGGAACGUACCCAGUUGAGGGGGGAUAGCCCGGCGAAAGCCGGAUUAAUACCGCAUAAGUCCUGAGGGAGAAAGCGGGGGACCGCAAGGCCUCGCGCGAUUGGAGCGGCCGAUGUCGGAUUAGCUAGUUGGUGGGGUAAAGGCUCACCAAGGCGACGAUCCGUAGCUGGUCUGAGAGGAUGAUCAGCCACACUGGGACUGAGACACGGCCCAGACUCCUACGGGAGGCAGCAGUGGGGAAUUUUGGACAAUGGGGGAAACCCUGAUCCAGCCAUUCCGCGUGAGUGAAGAAGGCCUUCGGUUGUAAGACUCUUUCGGUACGGAAAGGAAAUACGCCCGGGUAAACGUAAUACCGGGUGGAGUGACGGUACCGUAAGAAGAAGACACCGGCUAACGUACGUGCCAGCAGCCGCGGUAA
rnacentral:rRNA from 1 species